AUAAGAAUAAUAACUCCAUAGGCCUAUAUUCCAAAAGAGCUAGAACCGUUUGGUUUGGGUAUAAGUAAGAACUAGCUAUUACAGGGAUAGGUACAAGUAUGGGGAUAAAAAAAAUAGUGUUUGGAUGAAAAUUGGGUUGUUCCCGAGGAUAAGAACAAUUUUAGGUAGUUUUGUAUAGAAAAUGGAGGUGUUGGUGGGGAUAACCGAGAACUACUAUUCCCGGGUAAAAAUUUAGCGUUUGGAUAUAAAGGGGGGAUAAGGGCCUAUUCCUAUCCCUAUCUCCUAACCAAACGCUGCCUAAGGGUCUUGCUAUAUAU
rnacentral:lncRNA from 1 species